GGCCUCUUCCGUUUGCCUCUGGGACUGGCGAUACUCGAGAUGUCUUGAGGCCUUCCAGACCUUGCUCCACCUCCACCACCAGGUCUCCAGUCCUGAGCCACAUGCUGCCAUUUUUGUCUCAGAAGCACCCCUCUUCCAGUGAUGAGCCCACCAUGAAGAAAGGGCACGAAUCUGCUUCCUCUCUCCCUGUCCUGGGAACGGUGCCUGCCCGUGAUGGUAUCCUCAGGCCCCCCUCUCUGCGCCAGCAAGAUGUCCCAGGGGACGUCUGUGCAUUCAGCCAGGUGGAAGAUUGAAGGUCUGAAGAGUGGGAAGUCCCAGGAACAGGCAAUUCCAGGAAGAUAUGAGGAAAAUCAAGAAAGAGAAGGAAACUGAAGCUAGUGGGAAGUGCUUCAAGUUGGAGAUGAUGCUGAGAUGGCCAAAAAGUGAGAGGUGGAAAACAUUUGGAGUGAGUUAAGGAGAGAACGCGAGGCAAGGAAGUGAAGCUGAGUGAGUUGGGGAGUGGGGUGCAGGGGCCUUUGGCCACCCCAGGCUCUUUCUAUGUGAACAUUCUGAGACUGAUUCUGAUUUUUUUCCCCUCCCAAAUUGCUCUCUUUUCCUUUCUUCACCUACUUACUCCCUGGUCAUCCUUCCUUUGGGUCAGUGAAGUUGCUGAUUCUUUAGGGAACACUUCUCUGAUUGCUGAAGCUAAUAGUCUCUCCCUGCGGUUGCCGGUUGUUUCCAAUAGUUGACUAGUUUUCUUCCCCAGCACUUACGAGUACACAGCCAGUCACUCUGGUUGCUCACUGUCUUCCUUCUUCCUUGACUGUCAGCUCACAGGAAUGCAGGGCCCUUACUUGUUUUACUCACCACUGCAUCCCAAGGAUAUAGCAGAGUGCCUGGCACACGGUAGGUGCUGAAUAAAUAUUCGUUAAAUGAUUGAUUGGAGGAAAAAACCACCAUCCUCCAUGGUAAACCUUUACUUUACUUUUGCAUACUUCUAAAAGUAUAAUCUAGAGGUUCAGUGACUCCCGCAAAUAAACAGAAAAGGGCACAGAGGGUGGCGAUAGGGCCACUGAUAACAGGAGCUGGAAGUAGAAGACAUCUUUUUUCCGAAGUUGAAGACUUGUACUUCCAUAACCUUGGCAGAUUAGGAAAUGUCAAUUACCCUCCAAUCCAACCUCCUAUAUAGAGCCACACACUGGUUUCCUAGCCUUUUAUGUAUUGAAAAGAUGUUAUCCUAUAAAUUUUCUUCUUUUCCAAUGUGUUCUAUAAAUAUCCACUAAAAUACUUUAAUUGCAAGAAAGUUAGAUAUUUGAGGUUAUAUCCAUGUUUCAUUUCUGUGGAAAACAACACAGAAAAUGUUACCCAAGUAUAACUGGGCACCAUGGCUCCAAUAUUUUCUCAUUAUCAGCUCAAAUAAACACAACUUAGAAUAAAAAAGUCAUGUAAAGCAA
rnacentral:lncRNA from 1 species